AUUGAACGCUGGCGGCAGGUCUAACACAUGCAAGUCGAGCGAGCGGCGGACGGGUGAGUAAUGUCUGGGAAACUGCCUGAUGGAGGGGGAUAACUACUGGAAACGGUAGCUAAUACCGCAUACCAUCAGAUGUGCCCAGAUGGGAUUAGCUAGUAGGUGGGGUAACGGCUCCCCUGGGCGACGAGCCCUAGCUGGUCUGAGCGGAUGACCAGCCACCCUGGAACUGAGACACGGUCCAGACUCCUACGGGAGGCAGCAGUGGGGAAUCUUGCACAAUGGGCGAAAGCCUGAUGAAGCAAUGCCGCGUGUGUGAAGAAGGCUUUCGGGUUGUAAAGCCCUUUCAGCGGGGAGGCGUUACCCGCAGAGGAAGCACCGGCUAACUCCGUGCCAGCAGCCGCGGUAAUAC
rnacentral:rRNA from 1 species